rnacentral:ribozyme from 1 species
AUAAUAAAAAAAAAAGAAUGUACAACGAAUGCUCCAAUUUUUUCUUUUGUUUUUAUCUAGUUGGUUGAUAUGUGCGUCGGUGUGCUGGAACCAAAUCGAUAUGAAAAAAGUGACGGGGCUACAACAUCUUUCCUCCUUUGUUCGUAACUCGAUAUUGUGUUGAACACUGGGCAUGAUUGAAUGGAUGGCUGAAUAAAUAAAUAAAUAAUCGAGACCAGCAGGGCCAAAUAAAUAUC